UGGAGUACGGACGGCUGGAGCCU
rnacentral:misc_RNA from 1 species